UUCUUUAUAGGCGGGAAAUUAUUUUGUUUGGUCAGACUUUGCUUAUAUUUUUAACUGAUUGGAGCUGUGCUGUUUCUUUAUAUAAUUUUCAUUCAUAUUUGGUGGACAUCUUUAAUUUUAUUUCAAAUAAGGAUAUUUUGAACAGCAAAUGAAUCAAAGAAGAAUAUUCAUGGUGCAAAACAUAGAAAAUAAAUAUGAAGAUAGCCAACGAUUGACAUACGGAGAAGCAGUUAUGAAUUUUGAAAUUGAUUAAAGGAGAGAAGACUUAAUCAAAGUUUACAGUUUGUUGAGAGAAUUUCAGCCAUUGGUUGAAGACGAAUCACAGUGAUCAAGACUUCAUCCUUUGAAUAAAGUUAAUUGUAUUAGAAGAGAAGCUUUUACAGUCAUAAAACAAUAACAUAUCUUCAAUUGGUAUUUCCAAGACUAUGUGGAUUUAACCUGAUUAUCACUUGUAUGACUUGAAUCACUUUAAAUGUGGCAUUUUUCAUGUGGAGACUCAAAGACAAAGAAUUGGAUGUGACAUUAACUUGCAUGCAUUUGAAGACAGCUCUGUGUAUGUAAUGAAGAGUGUUUUCUAAUAAAAUGAGUUACAAAAAAAGUUUUUUCUACC